GCAGUCGAGCGGACCGAAGGGAGCUUGCUCUUUUAGGUUAGCGGCGGACGGGUGAGUAACACGUGGGCAACCUGCCCUGCAGACUGGGAUAACUUCGGGAAACCGGAGCUAAUACCGGAUAACACCGAAAACCGCAUGGUUUUCGGUUGAAAGGCGGCAUUAGCUGUCACUGCAGGAUGGGCCCGCGGCGCAUUAGCUAGUUGGUGAGGUAACGGCUCACCAAGGCGACGAUGCGUAGCCGACCUGAGAGGGUGACCGGCCACACUGGGACUGAGACACGGCCCAGACUCCUACGGGAGGCAGCAGUAGGGAAUCUUCCGCAAUGGACGAAAGUCUGACGGAGCAACGCCGCGUGAGCGAAGAAGGUCUUCGGAUCGUAAAGCUCUGUUGUCAGGGAAGAACAAGUGCCGUUCGAACAGGGCGGUACCUUGACGGUACCUGACGAGGAAGCCACGGCUAACUACGUGCCAGCAGCCGCGGUAAU
rnacentral:rRNA from 1 species